rnacentral:rRNA from 1 species
CGGGACACGUGGUAUCCUGUCUGAAUAUGGGGGGACCAUCCUCCAAGGCUAAAUACUCCUGACUGACCGAUAGUGAACCAGUACCGUGAGGGAAAGGCGAAAAGAACCCCGGCGAGGGGAGUGAAAAAGAACCUGAAACCGUGUACGUACAAGCAGUGGGAGCACGCUUAGGCGUGUGACUGCGUACCUUUUGUAUAAUGGGUCAGCGACUUAUAUUCUGUAGCAAGGUUAACCGAAUAGGGGAGCCGAAGGGAAACCGAGUCUUAACUGGGCGUUAAGUUGCAGGGUAUAGACCCGAAACCCGGUGAUCUAGCCAUGGGCAGGUUGAAGGUUGGGUAACACUAACUGGAGGACCGAACCGACUAAUGUUGAAAAAUUAGCGGAUGACUUGUGGCUGGGGGUGAAAGGCCAAUCAAACCGGGAGAUAGCUGGUUCUCCCCGAAAGCUAUUUAGGUAGCGCCUCGUGAAUUCAUCUCCGGGGGUAGAGCACUGUUUCGGCAAGGGGGUCAUCCCGACUUACCAACCCGAUGCAAACUGCGAAUACCGGAGAAUGUUAUCACGGGAGACACACGGCGGGUGCUAACGUCCGUCGUGAAGAGGGAAACAACCCAGACCGCCAGCUAAGGUCCCAAAGUCAUGGUUAAGUGGGAAACGAUGUGGGAAGGCCC